GAUGAACGCUAGCGGCAGGCUUAAUACAUGCAAGUCGUGGGGCAGCAGGUCUGUAGCAAUACAGAUGCUGGCGACCGGCAAACGGGUGCGUAACACGUACGCAACCUUCCCGUUACUGGGGAAUAGCCCAGGGAAACUUGGAUUAAUACCCCAUAUUAUAUUGGUUAGGCAUCUGACUGAUAUCAAAGCUUCGGCGGUAACGGAUGGGCGUGCGGUUGAUUAGGUAGUUGGCGGGGUAACGGCCCACCAAGCCUACGAUCAAUAGCUGAUGUGAGAGCAUGAUCAGCCACACGGGCACUGAGACACGGGCCCGACUCCUGCGGGAGGCAGCAGUAAGGAAUAUUGGGCAAUGGACGAAAGUCUGACCCAGCCAUGCCGCGUGAAGGAUGAAGGUCCUCUGGAUUGUAAACUUCUUUUAUCUGGGGCGAAAAUCGGUUAUCCUUAGCCGCUUGACAGUACCAGAUGAAUAAGCACCGGCUAACUCCGUGCCAGCAGCCGCCGUAAUAC
rnacentral:rRNA from 1 species